rnacentral:rRNA from 1 species
CCUACGGGAGGCAGCAGUAGGGAAUUUUCCGCAAUGGGCGAAAGCCUGACGGAGCAAUACCGCGUGAGGGAAGAAUGCCUACGGGUUGUAAACCUCUUUUUUCAGGGAGGAACAUAAUGACGUGUACCUGAAGAAUAAGCAUCGGCUAACUCCGUGCCAGCAGCCGCGGUAAGACGGAGGAUGCAAGUGUUAUCCGGAAUCACUGGGCGUAAAGCGUCUGUAGGUGGUUUAAUAAGUCAACUGUUAAAUCUUGAGGCUCAACCUCAAAAUCGCAGUCGAAACUAUUAGACUAGAGUAUAGUAGGGUAAAGGGAAUUUCCAGUGGAGCGGUGAAAUGCGUAGAGAUUGGAAAGAACACCGAUGGCGAAAGCACUUUACUAGGCUAUUACUGACACUCAGAGACGAAAGCUAGGGUAGCAAAUGGGAUUAGAUACCCCAGUAGUCCUAGCUGUAAACUAUGGAUACUAGAUGUUGAACAGAUCGACCUGUGCAGUAUCAAAGCUAACGCGUUAAGUAUCCCGCCUGGGAAGUAUGCUCGCAAGGGUNAAACUUAAGGAAUUGACGGCUGAGACGNGCGACGACGACGACGAGGAGGUAGG